rnacentral:rRNA from 1 species
CAGUCGCCGCGGUAAUACGAAGGGGGCUAGCGUUGCUCGGAAUGACUGGGCGUAAAGGGCGCGUAGGCGGAUUGUUUAGUUAGGCGUGAAAUUCCUGGGCUCAACCUGGGGGCUGCGUUUGAUACUUGAUUGCUAGAGUGGGGAAGAGGGUCGUGGAAUUCCCAGUGUAGAGGUGAAAUUCGUAGAUAUUGGGAAGAACACCGGUGGCGAAGGCGGCGACCUGGUCCUUGACUGACGCUGAGGCGCGAAAGCGUGGGGAGCAAACAGGAUUAGAUACCCCCGUAGUCCCUGUCUCUUAUAC